GACGUAGGGCGCGAGUGUUGUCCGGAUUUAUUGGGCGUAAAGCGCUUGUAGGCGGCUUGUCGCGUCGACCGUGAAACCUCGCAGCUCAACUGUGAGCCUGCGGUCGAUACGGGCAGGCUAGAGUUCGGUAGGGGAGACUGGAAUUCCUGGUGUAGCGGUGAAAUGCGCAGAUAUCAGGAGGAACACCAAUUGCGAAGGCAGCUCGCUGGGACGUAACUGACGCUGAGACGCGAAAGCGUGGGGAGCAAACAGG
rnacentral:rRNA from 1 species